GUUCACCAUCUGCCACAAGACUGAGGUGAUCAAGAACAAUCUGAACCCUGUUUGGCAGCCGUUUACCAUCCCUGUUCGAGCACUCUGUAAUGGAGACUACGACAGGACAGUCAAGGUGGACGUUUAUGAUUGGGAUAGAGAUGGGAGUCAUGACUUUAUCGGAGAGUUCACCACCAGCUACAGAGAGCUUUCCAGAGGCCAAAGCCAGUUUAAUGUCUACGAGGUUUUGAAUCCUAAAAAGAAAGGCA